GAUGAACGCUGGCGGCGUGACUAAUACAUGCAAGUCGAGCGAACGGACGAGAAGCUUGCUGCUCGGAUGUUAGCGGCGGACGGGUGAGUAACACGUGUAUAACCUACCUAUAAGACUGGGAUAACUUCGGGAAACCGGAGCUAAUACCGGAUAAUAUUUUGAACCGCAUGGUUCAAAAGUGAAAGACGGUCUUGCUGUAACUUAUAGAUGGAUCCGCGCUGAAUGGGAUGGUUGGUAAGGUAACGGAUUACCAAGGCAACGAUGCAUAGCCGACCUGAGAGGGUGGUCGCCCACACUGGAACUGAGACACGGUCCAGACUCCUGCGGGAGGCAGCAGUAGGGAACCUUCCGCAAUGGGCGAAAGCCUGACGGAGCAACGCCGCGUGAGUGAUGAAGGUCUUCGGAUCGUAAAACUCUGUUAUUAGGGAAGAACAUAUGUGUAAGGAACUGUGCCCAUCUUGACGGUACCUAGUCAGAAAGCCACGGCUAACUACGUG
rnacentral:rRNA from 1 species